GACGAACGCUGGCGGCGUGCUUAACACAUGCAAGUCGAACGGAAAGGCCCUGCUUUUGUGGGGUGCUCGAGUGGCGAACGGGUGAGUAACACGUGAGUAACCUGCCCUUGACUUUGGGAUAACUUCAGGAAACUGGGGCUAAUACCGGAUAGGAGCUCCUGCUGCAUGGUGGGGGUUGGAAAGUUUCGGCGGUUGGGGAUGGACUCGCGGCUUAUCAGCUUGUUGGUGGGGUAGUGGCUUACCAAGGCUUUGACGGGUAGCCGGCCUGAGAGGGUGACCGGCCACAUUGGGACUGAGAUACGGCCCAGACUCCUACGGGAGGCAGCAGUGGGGAAUAUUGCACAAUGGGCGGAAGCCUGAUGCAGCAACGCCGCGUGCGGGAUGACGGCCUUCGGGUUGUAAACCGCUUUCGCCUGUGACGAAGCGUGAGUGACGGUAAUGGGUAAAGAAGCACCGGCUAACUACGUGCCAGCAGCCGCGGUGAUACGUAGGGUGCGAGCGUUGUCCGGAUUUAUUGGGCGUAAAGGGCUCGUAGGUGGUUGAUCGCGUCGGAAGUGUAAUCUUGGGGCUUAACCCUGAGCGUGCUUUCGAUACGGGUUGACUUGAGGAAGGUAGGGGAGAAUGGAAUUCCUGGUGGAGCGGUGGAAUGCGCAGAUAUCAGGAGGAACACCAGUGGCGAAGGCGGUUCUCUGGGCCUUUCCUGACGCUGAGGAGCGAAAGCGUGGGGAGCGAACAGGCUUAGAUACCCUGGUAGUCCACGCUGUAAACGGUGGGUACUAGGUGUGGGGUCCAUUCCACGGGUUCCGUGCCGUAGCUAACGCUUUAAGUACCCCGCCUGGGGAGUACGGCCGCAAGGCUAAAACUCAAAGGAAUUGACGGGGCCCCGCACAAGCGGCGGAGCAUGCGGAUUAAUUCGAUGCAACGCGUAGAACCUUACCUGGGUUUGACAUGGAUCGGGAGUGCUCAGAGAUGGGUGUGCCUCUUUUGGGGUCGGUUCACAGGUGGUGCAUGGCUGUCGUCAGCUCGUGUCGUGAGAUGUUGGGUUAAGUCCCGCAACGAGCGCAACCCUUGUUCACUGUUGCCAGCACGUUAUGGUGGGGACUCAGUGGAGACCGCCGGGGUCAACUCGGGGGAAGGUGAGGAUGACGUCAAGUCAUCAUGCCCCUUAUGUCCAGGGCUUCACGCAUGCUACAAUGGCUGGUACAGAGAGUGGCGAGCCUGUGAGGGUGAGCGAAUCUCGGAAAGCCGGUCUCAGUUCGGAUUGGGGUCUGCAACUCGACCUCAUGAAGUCGGAGUCGCUAGUAAUCGCAGAUCAGCAACGCUGCGGUGAAUACGUUCCCGGG
rnacentral:rRNA from 1 species